rnacentral:sRNA from 1 species
GCCGGGCACAGUGGCUUUUGCCUGUAAUCCCAGCACUUUGGGAGGCCAAGGUGGGCAGAUCAUGAGGUCAGGAGUUCGAGACCAGCCUGGCCAAUAUGGUGAAACCCCAUCUCUACAAAAAAUACAAAAAUUAGCCAGGCGUGGUGGCACAUGCCUGUAGUCCCAGCUACUUGGGAGCUUGAACCCGGCUAAUUUUUGUAUUUUUAGUAGAGACGGGGUUUCACCAUGUUGGCCAAGCUGGUCUUGAACUCCUGACCUCGUGAUCUGCCCACCUCA